rnacentral:rRNA from 1 species
GCAGGCGGUUUUUUAAGUUCUGAUUGUGAAAGCCCCCCGGCUUCAACCGGGGAGGGUCAUUGGAAACUUGGGAAACUUGAGUUGCAGAAGAGGAGAGUGGAAUUCCACGUGUAGCGGUGAAAUUGCGUAGAGAUGUGGAGGAACACCAGUGGCGAAGGCGACUCUCUGGUCUGUAACUGACGCUGAGGAGCGAAAGCGUGGGGAGCGAACAGGAUUAGAUACCCUGGUAGUCCACGCCGUAAACGAUGAGUGCUAAGUGUUAGGGGGUUUCCGCCCCUUAGUGCUGCAGCUAACGCAUUAAGCACUCCGCCUGGGGAGUACGGUCGCAAGACUGAAACUCAAAGGAAUUGACGGGGGCCCGCACAAGCGGUGGAGCAUGUGGUUUAAUUCGAAGCAACGCGAAGAACCUUACCAGGUCUUGACAUCCUCUGACAACCCUAGAGAUAGGGCUUUCCCUUCGGGGACAGAGUGACAGGUGGUGCAUGGUUGUCGUCAGCUCGUGUCGUGAGAUGUUGGGUUAAGUCCCGCAACGAGCGCAACCCUUGAUCUUAGUUGCCAGCAUUCAGUUGGGCACUCUAAGGUGACUGCCGGUGACAAACCGGAGGAAGGUGGGGAUGACGUCAAAUCAUCAUGCCCCUUAUGACCUGGGCUACACACGUGCUACUAUGGACAGAACAAAGGGCUGCAAGACCGCAAGGUUUAGCCAAUCCCAUAAAUCUGUUCUCAGUUCGGAUCGCAGUCUGCAACUCGACUGCGUGAAGCUGGAAUCGCUAGUA